rnacentral:misc_RNA from 1 species
AAGUCGUAACAAGGUUUCCGUAGGUGAACCUGCGGAAGGAUCAUUACUGAGUUAGGGUGCUCUGCGCCCGAUCUCCAACCCUAUGUUUAACUACUUUGUUGCUUUGGCAGGCCCGUCCUUCGGGGCCGUCGGGGGCGUUCAGUCGCCUCUGACCAGUGCUUGCCAGUAGCCAAUUUAAAUUCUUCUUAACAAUGAAGUCUGAAUAUUUAAUUAAAAUUAAUUAAAACUUUCAACAACGGAUCUCUUGGUUCUG